CUACACACGUGCUACAAUGGACACUACAAAGGGCAGCGAAACCGCGAGGUCAAGCAACUCCCAUAAAGUUGUUCUCAGUUCGGAUUGUAGUCUGCUACUCGACUACAUGAAGCUGGAAUCGCUAGUAAUCGUAGAUCAGCAUGCUACGGUGAAUACGUUCCCGGGU
rnacentral:rRNA from 1 species